rnacentral:rRNA from 1 species
CGUUUGACGUUAGCGACAGAAGAAGACACCGGACUAACUCCGUGCCAGCAGCCGCGGUAAUACGGAGGGUGCGAGACGUUAAUCGGAAUUACUGGGCGUAAAGCGCAUGCAGGUGGUUUGUUAAGUCAGAUGUGAAAGACCCGGGGCGUCAACCUACGGAAUAAGCAUUUAGUAAACGUAGGCAGACUAGAGUACUGUAGAGGGGGGUAGGAAUUUCAGGUGUAGCGGUGAAAAUGCGUAGAGAUCUGAAGGAAUACCGGUGGCGAAGGCGGCCCCCUCGGACAGAUACUGACACUCAGAUGCGAAAGCGUGGGGAGCAAACAGGAUUAGAUACCCUGGUAG